rnacentral:rRNA from 1 species
UGGCGACCGGCGCACGGGUGAGUAACACGUAUCCAACCUGCCGUCUACUCUUGGACAGCCUUCUGAAAGGAAGAUUAAUCCAGGAUGGCAUCAUGAGUUCACAUGUCCGCAUGAUUAAAGGUAUUCCGGUAGACGAUGGGGAUGCGUUCCAUUAGAUAGUAGGCGGGGUAACGGCCCACCUAGUCAACGAUGGAUAGGGGUUCUGAGAGGAAGGUCCCCCACAUUGGAACUGAGACACGGUCCAAACUCC